rnacentral:tRNA from 1 species
UUCUUUGUAGCUCAAUGGUAGAGCAAAUGGCUGUUAACCAUUAGGUUGUAGGUACAAAUCCUAUCGAAGAAG